rnacentral:rRNA from 1 species
UGGGGAAUAUUGCACAAUGGGGGAAACCCUGAUGCAGCGACGCCGCGUGAGCGAAGAAGUAUUUCGGUAUGUAAAGCUCUAUCAGCAGGGAAGAAAAUGACGGUACCUGACUAAGAAGCCCCGGCUAACUACGUGCCAGCAGCCGCGGUAAUACGUAGGGGGCAAGCGUUAUCCGGAUUUACUGGGUGUAAAGGGAGCGCAGGCGGUCCUGCAAGUCUGAUGUGAAAGCCCGGGGCUCAACCCCGGGACUGCAUUUGAAACUGUCCGGCUGGAGUGCAGGAGAGGCAGGCGGAAUUCCUAGUGUAGCGGUGAAAUGCGUAGAUAUUAGGAGGAACACCAGUGGCGAAGGCGGCCUGCUGGACUGUAACUGACGCUGAGGCUCGAAAGCGUGGGGAGCAAACAGGAUUAGAUACCCUGGUAGU